rnacentral:tRNA from 1 species
AUCUAAAAUGACAGACAGAUGUAUAGGAUUUAAGCUCCUACCAGGAAGAACUAACUUCUUUUAGA